UCAUCCACACUCAGAUGUUUCUUUCUCUCUCCUUUAAAUUGCCCAGGAUCAGUGUCUCCCACCAUGAGCUAGGUCUUCCCUAGCUCAUGAUUACAUCAACUAAUCAAUUACAUUAAUUAAUGUAAUCAAGACAAUCUCUCACAGACAAGCCCACAACCUGAUCUAGCAAUCUCUCAUUAAGCCCAUCUUCCCAGGUGAUUCUAGACUGUGUUGAGUUGAGCUAACUACUGCGCAGGCCUAGAACCCGAGUCCCUUUUCUCCAGUAUCCGGAGCAUCUUAUCUCCUCACCCUGCUUCCUCUUGUUAUUUGAGACCUAGCCAUUGGGGCUCCAGGUGUCACAUAGUCACCCAGCACCGGGCGUUCUCCACCUACAGCAGAACAGGACAGAUUGCUGGGGACCCAAAUGAAGAGUGCUCUGGAGAAGACAAGGGAGGAGUAGCACUCAGGCUGGAGCAGUGUAAUGAGCAUAUUAAAAAAAAAGAAGAAAUAAAAUUUUAAAAAUGUCUUUUAGACAUAGAAAAUAGCUUAGUCGGGGAUCUCACUACACCCAAGGCUGUACAGGAACCGGAUUGCCAGAACUCAGCGACAUCACUGGUUCCAAAAUAACCAGACCCAGUCCUAGAACCCCGUGACACCCACUGGACCUCUUAUAAGUAAAUAAAAGACAGAGACUCUUCUAAGUCUAUCAAAGGAAUGCUUAGCUCUGCACAUCUGGAGAGAGGCCACCUGGAUCUUCCCUGCAGCUACGGAGUUUCUCCCAGGAUCCUGACCCUUGAAUCAGAGACUUCUGUUAGAGACUGGACCAGACCAGCUAAGCUAUGUCCCAGAGGCUCCCAGUGGUGAUCUCCCCUGUCAUUCACCGGCUCAUUCUCAAGCUUACUCUUACCCAGGCUAGCCCGGUCUCCUGCCCACCUCUCACUGGAAGAAGGCCUCCUCUUUUUCUUCUGCCUUACUCCAAACCCUCACACUCUGCAAGGUGAGAGCGGGGAAGGGAGGAAGAGGAAAGCAAACCAGAAAAGAAACCAAAGAAAAGCAGAGGAAGCAGGAGACACAAAAUGAAGACCGGUGAUACCACCGUGUCAGGCAGGCUCCCUGCCUCAGUUCAUACCGCCCCACUUCGUCCCACUUCGCCCCACUUCGCCUCACUUCCGCCAGGAGCUUCAGGCCUGGACAGCCUUCCCUAGGCUGCUGCUGCCCUACUUUUCAAACCAGCACUAACUUCCUCCUGCCACAUGUCCCCUGGCACCUUGGGAUCUGGCAAUGCCGAGAACUUGAUGUCCCUCCAAGUGUACCAUGGCAGCCUCCUGAGCAUCCAUUCUCCUGGAUUUCGAGGCUGGGAUAUGAUCUGCUAGAGGAUCUCCUUUUGUGUCUUGAGUCUAAGCAGAAGUUAUGGGUGAAGCUUCAGACGAGUCUCUUUCAAGAGUUGCUCACUCAGCUAGAAGAAAGAACCAUUUCCUCCUCGCCCUCCUGCCCCAUUUACUUUUUCCCUUUUAUUUUCUGAAAUAAAAGCAACCUGGUA